GACGAACGCUGGCGGCGUGCUUAACACAUGCAAGUCGAACGGAAAGGCCCUGCUUUUGUGGGGUGCUCGAGUGGCGAACGGGUGAGUAACACGUGAGUAACCUGCCCUUGACUUUGGGAUAACUUCAGGAAACUGGGGCUAAUACCGGAUAGGAGCUCCUGCUACAUGGUGGGGGUUGGAAAGUUUCGGCGGUUGGGGAUGGACUCGCGGCUUAUCAGCUUGUUGGUGGGGUAGUGGCUUACCAAGGCUUUGACGGGUAGCCGGCCUGAGAGGGUGACCGGCCACAUUGGGACUGAGAUACGGCCCAGACUCCUACGGGAGGCAGCAGUGGGGAAUAUUGCACAAUGGGCGGAAGCCUGAUGCAGCAACGCCGCGUGCGGGAUGACGGCCUUCGGGCUGUAAACCGCUUUCGCCUGUGACGAAGCGUGAGUGACGGUAAUGGGUAAAGAAGCACCGGCUAACUACGU
rnacentral:rRNA from 1 species